GCUCGGCAGGGGGGUCUGCCUGGCACGGCUCACGCGACCCCUGAGCAGCCCGCCCAGCCUGCAGGGGCGUGGAGGAGAGUCACUGCGGGUGAUGGCUCGGACCGCCCCCCUCCCCGGGCAGUGGUUUCCACUUUCCCCCUGCGCGGGGUGGUAGAUGGCGAGCCUGGCACCCGGGUUGCGAACGGGUGGCAAAGGAGGAGAGAAGAGCCUUUUUGUGGCACGGAUUGCGGUACGUGGGGGGUUGCUCUGAGGUCGGUCUCUGUGGCAGAGCUGAGCCUUGCCCGGGGGGCAGCAGGGAUCGGUGUGUCUUGCGUUAUCUUUGUUACCGGGCAGACCUCUCAGACUGGACAACAAACCUGCCUGGAAUCCCAAACAUGCUUCUUGGGAUUAUGGACCAGAUUCUUGUUUCAGCUGUUAACCUCGUGCGUAUGAAUAACCCAGUGGAUUUACAGCAGUGUAGCAGCGCAUAAUUUAACCUCUAUAUUUAGUCAUUGAGGGAAAGUAGAUCAUUAUUAGUUAAACUGUGAAUGAAGUAAUUGCAAGCUCAAGACAGUUGCAGUGAUGAUCUCUGCCUAUUACGGAGUACACUGGUUUUAACAUAAAAUGUGGGGUUUGAAGUUCACCUAUCUCAACUUUUGCCUGUUAUCACAAAACCAAAGGAUGUGUGAGUGGAUUACGUGGUGCAUCCAAAAUGGAAGAAAGUUCAAAACUAAAAAGUCUCAUGCAUGAGAAUAAUAUACUAGAGGACCUGGUGGAAGCUUUGCAUAUUUCUUUGACCAGUGCAGUAGCCUUCUCAACAUAUGAUAUGACUGUGGAAUGCGGUUCUCUUAUGGUCUCAUAUACCAAUUAACGUGGCUGGACUACACUUCCUCUCAUCUAGCAAAUGGACCAGAAGAUACUUACCUGACAUUUUCAAAGAGAGCCACAUAAUUCCCACUGACCACAGAAAGUUGAAAAUUUACUCUUUCUAAAUGUGGAGGUUAGGAUUCAAGUUAAUUUUAACAUUCAAAUGAGCAGUUGAGGCCUUUGAGGUAUGCCCAUCACUAAUCAGUACCCUUACUGGUAGGAGAAGAUAAAUGGGAUCAGGAGUUUCAAUCACAAAAAAGUUUAACGCACAAAAAAGUAUUAGGUCAUUUAGUACAGGGACUCAGGGACCAACACCGGAUAUUGAAAUAUAGUUCUGUAUUCUCCAUUGUUUUGCCCAAAGUAUGUGGUUUCCACCAUUUCACCUGAGAAACUACUCUAAUCUACUAGAUCUUAGGUAUGAAUUUUUUUCUGAUAUUCGUCCUUUGCUUUUGCUUAAUUUCAUUGCAUGCCCCUAACUAAACUACCUUGGGCCACUCUCAUCAAGGUAAUGGAGAUGGGAGAUAUUUGUAUGGAGUAGAAAUUUUUUCUGAAUUUGAGCGCGCAGUAGAGGUGCUAAAGUGAGGCAAUUAGAUUGGGUGGGAGAAGGGCUAAGGACAAUUUUGGGUGGGAGGGCAUGAGUCCUGCCAAAGGGAAGAGCUAAUUUAACAAUUGCAGAUACGGAUUCACUUUUAUAAGCUAUUUACACAUGGUUAAUGGUCUUCAUUUUAUUCUGAUCUAUUUGAUACUGUUACUGAGUAGUGGUUCCAGCUGCCAUUGUUCGUUCAUUUAUAAUCAGUGUUUAAAAUAGGAUCAGACCCUUAAUUCUUUAGAAUAUAAUGCAAGACCAACCAUUCCCCAAAAUUUUUACACAGGGAAAUUCUCCCCUACUGCCCACUUCCAUUUCCUGCUCUUUAAAAGGGCAAAGCUGGAGUAGUUUAGCAACCUCAAAGGGAAAAAAAGGCUUGUUUUUACUCUACCAUCUCCCACCCUCCAAUGUUAGUCUAAAACAAUACAAUUAAAAGCAACCCUUUUAGCAUUUCUGUUUGAGUUUUAUAUUCUUUCACUUCAGGUCAUUUUCCUAUAGCAUUAGGUCUGGCUGGCUGUUGUAAGUUGCUGUAUCCAAUUCUACAGAGUGUUACUGGAAAUACUUAUGUAUUCAAGUUACUAUACACAAAUAAAACUCUUAAAAAAUCCUAAACAUACAGGUUUUAUUUUCUAGUGCAUAAAAUAAAGUUUUGAAAAGUUUAAAUAUUUCUUUGAUAAGGGAAAGAGAAGGAUCAAAGGAUACCUAAUACCAUGGUUGUUUAUUAUUUUGUUGUUUGAUAUGUUUAUCAGAAUAUUUAAAACUCUCGAGACCAUAAUCAGAAAUUUAGAAUAUAGUGACAAUAGGGUCCCUUUCUGUUCCCACUGACUUCAAUGGGGAUAGAAUUUGGUCCUGUGCUUACAUAAGAAUUACUGUCUUGUGCUAAUGUAUUUUACAUGCAACAGUAAAGCUAUUUUAAAAAAUAAUAUAGGGAGGGAGCAUGGAUUUGUGGUGACAGAAUGUAAACUGGAUUCUAAUCCUAGCACUGACGCUAACCCGGCAACAGAUUACAGUUAGGCCCUCUUGACUUCAGUGGGGUGCCAUGCAAGUCCAGUCUGCUUUCACAGCAUACAUUGAAGGAUCAAGGCAAGUCCACUUAGGGCCCAAUCUAGCACCAUUGAAGACAAUGGAAAGACACCUUUUGACUGAAGUAAAAGUUGGGUUAGGCUUGUAACCGCUCAGGGCCCAAUUCAGAGUAUUGAUAUAAGUGUGUGAGAUUCUACUGGAGUUGCCCCUGGUUAUGUCAGAUCUGAAUCUAACCCUCUGUGCCUUAGUUUUCCAAUCUGUGACACGAGGAUAAUAUUUACCUACCCUAUUAGGAUUUAUAGAUUCAGAGGGUACAGCUACACUGCAAAAACACACACACAAAACCCCACAGCAGCAAACCCCUCGGAGCCUAGGUCACCUGAUUCAGUCUCACAGUACAGACCUAAAAAUAUUUAGUUGACUCAGGCUCCGAGACUCUCAGCCAUAGUUUGUUUUUUGCUGUGUAGCAUACUCAGAGUUUAAGGCCGGAAGGGAACAUUAGGUCACCUAAUUGCAUCUGAAGUGGUUUUUUACCCACGAAAGCUUAUGCCCAAAUAAAUCUGUUAGUCUUUAAGGUGCCACCGGACUCCUUGUUGAUUAGAUCACCUAGACUGACCUGUAUAUCAAGAGCAAUUAAACUUUACCCAGCUAUCCCUGUAUUAAGUCCAAUAAUGUGUGUUUUUCUAUAGCAGAUCUUCCAGAAAGGCCUCCAGUCUUGAUGUGAAGACACCAAGAGAUGGAGACUCUACCUCUUCCCUUGGCAGUUUUGUUCCAAUGGUUACUCACCCUUACAAUUAGGAAUUUGUGUCUAAUUUGAAUUUGUCUGGCUUCAGCUUCCAGACACUGAUUCUUGUUCUGCCUUUCUCCACUGGACAAGAGGGCCCUUUCUACCUGCUAUUUUCUGUCCGUGAAGGUCCUUAUACAUUGUAAUCAAGUCACCGCUUUUAUUUUUAUUUUAUUUUUUUUAUUAAUAAGCUAAGCCAUUGGAACUCUUUAAUUCUCUCACUAUAAGGCAUUUUCUCCAGCCCUCAAAUAAUUUUUGUGGCUCUUUUCUACACCCUUGUUAAUUCUUUAACAUCCCUUCUAAAAUGUGGACAUCAGAAGUGGAUGAAGCAUUUCAGUAUCAGUUUCGCCAGUGCUGUAUCCAUAGGGAGAAAAAUCACUCCCUAUUCCUACUCACUACUCCCUUGUUUAUACAUCCAAGGAUCUCAGUAGUACUGUCUGCCUCAGCAUCGUAGUGGGAGCUCAUAUUAAGAUUCUUGUCCACUAGGAUACCUGAAUAUUGUAAAGCUUCAAUGACCAUGACACACAUGGAAUGUCUGACAGAAGGGACUGUGAGCUAGCCUGUCCCUGGAUUUAGUGCAAGUGCCUAUAGGUUGGGGGGCACUAGUCAUGGGGGAGAACAUAAGGAGCAUUGUUCCCUCCUUGCUUCGCACACCCUGCUGGUGAGCCAGGGACAAAUGCAGUCCCUGGCCUGGGGGAACCAGAGAGACAGCUCCCUCAGUGCAGCCAAUGAGCACAAAUUGUUCCUACGAGUACAACUUGCAUCUGCUUCAUCCUGGACAGUAGAGAUGAUCAUGUCUGCAUGUGAUUUGGGGAGCAAGAGGCACCAUCUGAAAGGACAGUGCAGCUUACACACUCCCCCUGCGUGCUGAGUAGCUGAAGACUGUAUUGUACCUCCUGAGCCUCGUUGCCACAUUCUGCGCGCUGUGGCUAGUGCCAUAAUCUAGCCCAGUGAAGAAGGCAUAACAGAAGAGCUCAGUAUUUAACAAAGAGAAGUCCUGCUGCACAACCCCACAUCCAGGGGUCCUGGAACAAUUUUUAUAAUGAGGGAGCUGAGAGCCGUGAACCAAACUGAAAACCCUGCAUAUAAUGGAAACCACUUUAAGCCAGGGGGUGUGACAUCUUAGGUGCUCUGUUAUACCACUGCUGCUAAGGGUCAUCUAACUCUCUGUCAGGAGAGGGGAUCAUUCUGAAAAGAGGAACUAAGGACAGGCACACUGCAGAAUAUAUUUGACCUGUCCUUAGCUUUGUAAACAUUUUGGCUAUAGACAUGUCCACAACACAUAUUUGGGAGCCAUCUAAUUUUGUUUUGUGAUCUUGGAACGACCAACAAAACAAAACAGAAGCUACUGUACGUAGAGUGCAAGAGGUGCUUUUUCCUGGGAUCUUUGUGUGAAGGAUAAAUUCUCCCCUUGAAGCAUGGCAAAAUUCCCAUUGGCUUCAUGGGCACAGGAUCAGUAUUGUGUUGGAAAAUUACAUGUGUUUAUACAAUGACUUGAUUAAAAUAAGUUUUCUAACCUCUGCACCAGAUGCUAGGACUCAGUAUUUUUCCUCGUGUCAAAUUACCCUCAGUCCCAUCUAAAUGUAAUCUCAACUACGUUAAAGCAUGCAAGAUAUUUCGAGAUAAAAAUAUAUUGGUAAUACACUCAAGAUGUGUUUGUAUUCAAAAUAAAGUGUCCCCUUUAGAUAGUAUUUCGUCCUGCCUCAGUGCAGGGGACUGGAUAAGAUGAUGUAUUGAGGUCCCUUCCAGUCCUACAUUUCUUUGAUCUAAUAAUAUUUGGCAGUUAUCCUUUGUCGAUCUCAAAGCACUUUACAAAGAUGAGUAAAUCAAAAGCCAUUUCAUAAUUGGGGAAACCAAGACAGAGAGAUUAAAAGACUUGCCAAAGAUCAAAAAGCAAGUAGUAGAACAGCACCCAUGUCUCCUAAAACCCAGUCCAGCUCCCUAGCCAGCCAGCCCCGCUGCUUCACAAUACACUCUGUGGGUGAGUCAAAGCCCAUUGAAGUCAAUGGAAGGACUCCUGUUGACUUCAAGAGACUUUGAACUGGGCUCUAUAAUGUUAACAACGAUGGCUAAGGACUCACCUACAGUACUGUUGACCCACUUACGUCAGAGAUCCAUUUUGCAGUGUACAUCUGAUUUAACUGUGUAUUGGUAUUCUUGCAUCAUGUUAAAAGUUUAGACAACCAAAUCUAACCUGGUUCAGGUGUAUAGUUAAGUUCUGGGGUGCACUACACACUGGAACAAUAUUGUACUGAGGUUCUCCUUUUGAGGCUGUAACUGUAGUGCAGAUGUGUUUAUGGAGAUAAGGAGUUCAGCUAACUGCAGGAGAACCAUAGGGUCAAAUUCACCCAUAGUGGAAGCAGGUGCAGCUCCACUGCCCUUGAUAAAAUGGGGCCACAGUGUUUCCCGUUUGCCCCACAGAACUCUUAAAUUGAAGAGCCCAAAUGCCUCCUUAUACAAGUUUGAAAUGAAAUCAGUGAUUAGAAGAGCAGUUAAUCCAUCUUUCUCCACAUAAUACUUCGGGGAGCACUUCUGUGUAACUGUCAAGAUUCGCUUUAAAGGAUGUUACCAUCCUUCCAUAAAUAUAAAACAUGUCACCAUGCACAAAUCACUCAAACAUAAUCUUACACAUUUAAACUGGCCACCCAGAGAAGUUAAAAUAAACUACAGAGUUUCAUCUAAUUCAGAAUAAUUCACACUAGUCUUUAUCAUCAGGAGAAUGAGAUCAAGCAAGUGGGGAAUGUAGCAGAAGUGACUGUGUUAAACUCUGCUGUUAUGUUGGUAUAAAUCCAAAAUAAUCCAUUAACCUGAAUAGAGUAACUGGACAGGCGUAUAUGUUAGCACCCUUUCUCAUAGGGAAAGCUCUAACUCUCUUACUGGGAUUCUUAAACAUAAUGAAUUAUUAUAUCCGAAGAUAGAAGUGACAGAAAACAUUGAGUUAUCUUUGACUGCCACGUUUUUCCUGAGUGCUGGCUUAAGAACUGAGCCUUGUAAUAUUUUAUUUACCAUUUUUACUGGACAUUUCUUGACCCGCCACUUCAAAGAGCUGAGGUACAUAGAACUUCUUAGGUAGCCACACUUCUGGAGAUGUUUCCCUUAAAUCCUUUCAUUGGUGCUUUUUGUCAGUCUGGCAUAAAGACCCUGUUAUGGAUGAAAUAUGGAAACAGAAAAAAUGUAUUAAGAUCAAUUACUCAUUAUUAUUACUGUAUUACUCAUACAAUUAGGGCCUAAUUCUAAUCUUGCACCAGUUUAACACUGAGGUAACUCCAUUAACUUCAGCAGAGGUACCCCAAAUUCACAUCAGUGUGACAGAGUAGAAUUGGGCCUAAAGUAACCACAACAAAAGGCCACAGCAAGAAGCUCAUAACUGAAAACUGAGUUUGCUCCCUUGAAUAUUAGUGUUUCAGUUCUCUUUCCAGCUAAGUUACAAUUAAAUGGCAAGGAAGAAAAACUUUUUGUUCUAUCAUUACAGUGAUUCUAGGCUUUAAAAACAAACACAUGCA